ensembl:lncRNA
AUGUUUAAUAGUAUAGCAACAUCUAGAUGUGUUCAGUUUUCUGCACCGUAUGCAUUUGGUAAGGAUAUAAAUGACCAAAUACAGGUGAGAUACUCAAAUGUUCAAAAUAUGUCUCCCAUUCCCAGAAGCUUGCCCGUACAACUUCUUGAAGGGAUGUCCAGCAGGAAGCGGAAACCUAACUGGACAGAGCAGGAGUGUCUUCUUCUUGCUCAGUUAUUGCAGGAGAGAAAAGAAGCAAUCAGAGGGAAGUGCGGCAUUGAAGUUUCAAUACAGGAUAAAAGACAAGCCUGGAAGCAAGUAGCCCAAUCCAUCAACAAUGUCUUUCCACAGAUUCAUAGGACAGUUUAUGACUGUAACAAAAAGUGGGAAAAUCUACUGGCAAAGUCUAAAGUGGAGAUCAAACGCCAGAAAAGGCAAGCGGGCACAGGCCUGUCCGUUGACCAGCUCACUACUGUGACUCAAGUGGUGGUUUCCGUGAUGGGCAUUUCAGAUAUGCUGCACCACAAUACAGAAGACUCUCCAAGCUCAGGGUUGCUGGAGAUUAAAAAAAACAGCGAUGAAGAUCGAAAGGACCAGAAAAUAGAUGAAAGAUUCUCAAAUAAUCAUCCAUUGAGAGAGCCUGAGCUCCCCACAUAUUCAGAUGAAUCCACUUCUCCAGCAGAACAUAAAAUGACAGAUUUUGAUAACGUCUCAAAAUCACUUGCGGUGCAUAUUAGCACUCAUCGUGCUGAUGGCUUUGCCGCUUCUGCAGAACCUGUAGAUACUCUGUACUCAUCUCCUCCACCUGCAGUGAACGGCACAGCUUUGCAAGAGCGAAUGGAUUUGGAAAUGUCUGUGCUAAGAAGACAAGAGGCUGUCCUUAAGCUGCAAGAGGAAUAUUACACACUGAAAAUUAAGCUGAUGAAAAAGCAAACGGAACACCCUCUUUCAAAGGACUGA